rnacentral:ncRNA from 1 species
UCAUCCGGGAUAUUGGAUGGUUCCCGGAUCCGGAAACGGAUCGGGGAGUAAAUGGGAAUGUGACGCGGCGGACCCAACCAGGGCGCUGCAAUCACGGCCGACCCCGCGACUGUAGAGUGGCGAGGGACGCCCAUCCGGACGGGAGGAUCUGCGCGGAACGGGGCAAUGGUGCCUUCGACCCGCGCCGUGACAACCAGCCGGAAAAGCCACUGGGUGGCAUCGCGAUCAGCAGGGGUUGGACGCCUCUUUCUCUACGAAUCGUCCGCCUUUUCGCGAUGCCGGAGCCUGGGAAGGCGAGGGCGACCCGCAGGCGUUUUUCAACGCCGGACGCUGCGAGCCAGGAGACCUGCCAGCCAAUGCGAAGGACAU